rnacentral:lncRNA from 1 species
AACAGGCUGUCAAAUAAUAGACUCUACCCUAGGACCACAACCAGACAAGGAACAUGAAAUAAGGCCAAAUCAAUUAUUUUAAGGCUAUAUGAUCCUAACUGUAUACAAUUUUAAAAGCAUACACAUAGCAGUUACAAAUACCAAUUAUCAUUCUCAUUCCAGCAUGGCAUCCAAUAUUCCCAAGGCUACAAGCACCACGUAUCAGGCCAACCAAUUGUUGACUACUCAGCAUUAGCAUGCAAGUCUACCAGCUCAUACAACAUAUACAGGCAUCUCCCCUAGCCCUAUCUAGCAUUCGAUUCACAAAUUCAUAAAUCAAGUCAUAACAGACAACAUAUGUGGGUAUUUUGGGAAAUUUACUUAAGCUCGACUAAUUAUAUGCACCACACCCUUUCUUGUCUUAUAAAUUCUUUACUUAAAACAUUUCUCUUUUGAAAACUUUACAGAUCCUCAGUUUGAGUUCAAGCACACCCGAAAGUACGUCUGAAUCCCUCAAACCAAGGCUCUGAUACCAACUUGUAAUGACCCAAAAAUCAAGGGUAAAAAUUUCAUUUUUUGUAUAACUAAAACAUUGAUAUCAUUUAUCCCAAACAUUUCAAAUCAUCAUUAUGUAAAAAAUUAUCAGAGUUCGUCCCAAAAUCAUUCGUUGCGUAAUUCAUAGGUGUGUGCACUGUGAUCAAUCCGAGCCCUUCCUUUCCAAGACGAUGAUACCUGAAACCAUAAACAAACCUGUAAGCACGAAUCUUAGUGAGUUCCCCAGAACGUACCACACACACAAUCCACGUAUCACAUAUCUUGUUAGCUAUAAAAGCUACCUAUAUCACAUAAGCCAUGCAUACAUAAACCUGUAAGGAUGUCGUGGGCUCCCCCCUGGAUCUUACAACAUAGUGACAUAGGCUACCCCACAUGGUCUUUACCUGGGAAUGCCAUGGGCUACCCCACAUGGUCUUAUAUCUAAUUGCCAUGGGCUACCCUCGGGGUCUUUCAUGCAAUAACAUACAUAAUCAGAUAACAUAUCAUAUAUCACAGAAGCAUAUACACAUAACACAUACAUAAACCUGUAAGAAUGUUGUGGGCUCCCCCAGGGCCUUACACCAUAAUGCCAUGGGCUACCCCACAUGGUCUUUACUUGGGAACUCCAUGGGCUAACCCACAUGGUCUUAUAUCCAAUUGCCACGGGCUCCCCCUGGGGUCUUUCAUGCAACAACAUACAUAAUCAGAUAACAUAUCAUAUAUCACAAAAGCAUAUACACAUAACACAUACAUAAACCUGUAAGAAUGUUGUGGGCUCCCCUAGGGUCUUACACCAUAAUGUCAUGGGCUACCCCACAUGGUCUUUACCUGGGAAUUCCAUGGGCUACCCUACACGGUCUUAUAUGCAAUUGCCAUGGGCUCCCCUGGGGUCUUCCAUGCAACUAUCACAAAGACAACUAGCAUAUCACACAUCACAUAAACAACUAGUAUAACACAUACCGCAUAAACAACUAGUAUACUUCAUAUCACAUAAACAAUGCAUAUAAACAUAUAAGGAUGCCGUGGGCUCCCCCCAGGGUCUUACUCCAGGAUGCCAUGGGCUCCUCCACAUGGUCUUACAUCUAAGUGUCAUCGGCUACCCUACAUGGUCUUUACCUGGGAAUGCCAUGGGCUACUCCACAUGGUCUUAUAUCCAAUUGCCACGGGCUCCCCCCGGGGUCUUCCAUGUAAUAACAUACAUACCCACAUAACAUAAAAUGGGCCGGCCUUGAUGCCUUAGACACAUUGGUAUGGUGAGAAGACUCGCCUCGCACUGCUGAAGUCCCGCGGAUAAACCCUAGUUGUCGGUUGACCGGUUCCCGAAUUGUCAAUCAUCAAAACGACACCCAACUAAUAAUCGGGUUCCAAUAUACAACCAUAAUCUACACUUAGGGUAAAUUAACCAUUUUACCCCUAACCUAGCUUGGUACAAACCAAGGCCCAAACUCACACCUUGAAGGCCUAAACUUCCAAUAGUCACCCAAGGCCCAACAUAUGGCCCAAUUUUUCAAAAUUGGGCCCAAACCUCUACAUGGACUUAUUUUAAGGUAUAACCGUCCAAAGAAUUGGCAUUCUGAUGGCCCAAUGGCUAAUAAUCCUCAAGGCCUAAUCAUGGCCCACUUAUGGCCCAAUUUUCUAAAUUGGGCCCAAGCCUCUCUAAUGGGUAUUAUCCUGAAGCUCAAUAAUUUACCUUAGUCCAUAAAUAUGUUCCCAAUUGGCCCACAAAGGCCCACAGCAGCUUAGUCCAAUAUGUGGCCUAACAAGCAUCCAAACCCAAUUAGGGUUUUUCACAUAAAAUGAUGAUUAGGGUUAAGUGUUCCUACUUAACCCAUUAAGGACUUGAUCCAUUAAGUCCAAACGUAUAAUGAAAUCGGGCUUGAUUCGUCACUUCACUCCAAUGGUCCAAAAUGCAGGUCCCGAUAUGUCCAAACCAAUAAUCCCAAAAUUAGGGUUUUCCAAACCCUAAUUAGGGUUUCCAACCCAUUACAAUCCGACUAUGCCCAAAAGCUAAGUCCUUAGGCCCAUUAGGGCUUCAUUGGGCUUACUGCUCCAUUAGGUCACUAGGGUUUCAUUAAUCGGGCACCACCCACUACCACCUCGGGUAGUGGUGAUCAAUGGCGGCUCACGGUGGUGGUUUUGAGUUCCUUUUCAUUAAUCUUUUGCUAAUUACAAUUACAAUGUUGUUCUUAAUUAACACACACAAACAUACUAAUCUAACACACACACACACACUAAUCUAACACACACACACACACUAAUCUAACACACACACACACACAACCACCUUGUGGCGACAGUCGCGAUAGAGAGCAGAAGCUGGUGGAGGUGUUGAGUUUUCUUCAUUUUUCCUUUCCAAAUAUCCGUACAACAUUAAGUUCACGAACUAUACCUACACACACACAAUCACGCACAUAGCCACCUCCUCACGGUGGCUAGUGGCGGCGGAAGAAGAUGAUAGGGUGGCAGCCUCCAUGGUUGGCUGCCAUGGUGGUUACCCACAUUUUCCGGCCAGAAAUGCACUCACACCCACAUAUUAGACUCACAGAAACAACAUAGACACAUAAAUGACACGAGAUCGAGGUUCCCAACCACCGACUCGGCUGCUAUUGUCGUUGGAGCAAACAGAAACGACGAUGACGACUUUGCACAACCAAAAGGGACGAAAGACGAAAGAAACGGGUCAUGGUUUAGCCUUACCGAAGCUUUCCAGUCGUUUACGGCCUCAACUCCAUCGUUCACAACCUUCUCCUUCGUCUCAGUGGCCUCUCCAGCCGUUUACGACGACUCUGAUGGUUCUCGAUGGUUUAUCCGGCUGCCACGGCGUCUCCGGCAGUAGAGCUAGGGUGGUGGUGCUCCACAGCGAGGUGGCAUGCGGCUGUCUUGGAGCUUCUCAAGAUGGCGGCUGAAGAUGCCACACAUGGUGAUAGCGGCUGGUGGUAUUAGGACGUAGGGUUAGGGUUAGUGUGAGAAUGGGAGGUGAUGGGUUUAAAGUCUCGUGUUCAUUGAAAUUUGUACAUUUUACCAAGUUUAGUCCCUCCCCACAACAUUUGUUUUCAAUUUAACUCCAAAAGUUACCCUUUAGCCCUCCCUUCCAUAGUUCCUUUUAUAAACAAUCCUAAGAAUUACCAAGCAGCCUUCAACACUUCAAUAUAUUUUCAAUUUAAGUCCCAAUCUUACCAAACAACCCCUAACUUCUGAAAAUCUUCACAAAAUAAAUCCCAGAAAUACACUUUAGCCCCCAAAUAAUCCAAUUUAUAACAUUCGGCUCCCCAAUCCACUAAAUUAUAUCGAUUCAGGGCGACUAUUCGUUCAUCAAUUUUUUAUCUAUUUAAUUAUUAAAUAAACAGAAUGUUACAGACGUGGUGGUGGCUUUCCAGCUAGGGUUGUGAUCAGGAAUUGGAAAAAAGAGGAGAUGUUGAGGAUGUUGUGAUCUCGACAUUCAUGAGAGAGAGAGAGAGAGAGUAUUUUAUUUUUUUUAUUUUUAAUUGUUUUAAUUGAGGGUAAUAAAACAAAAUUGAAAAAUUAAAUAAUAAGGAAUAAAAUCGUCUUUACAAAAAAAGUUAAACCAAAUUGGACCAAACUAACAAGAAAAUGAUACUUUUGGACCAGUGUUGCUAGUUAAAUUUAUUUUGGCCAAAACAUACGAGAUUUGACAUACCACAUGACCAUUCUUUCAAUUUUGUCGUUAACUUUACUUACUAUUGAGUGUAUGAUUAAAUGGAUGUAUCUUUCUGCCCUUUGCUUUAUGAUUGAUUGCAACGGUUGAAAUUCCUAAAGCAACAUUGUAAUUAUUGAUGCAAAAGCUGUUAGUUUUUAUGAGUUAUAGUUUUGUAAUGUUAAAAGGAAAACUAAGAGAGGCAGGUACUUGUAGCCUGAUUUGGUUCCAAUUGGUUCCGAAUCCGCUUCCAAAAUCUUAGAAAACGCUGAGACCAGCUUCAUCUUUUUAGUAAUCGUCGAUUCUAGCUCCUUUCAAAAUGACCGGGCUAUACACAUUUAUGCUUAUCCUUAAUUGGGUAUGAUGAAAACAUAAAAUCUUUGUUUUUAAAAAUUUAGCCAACUCUCGAAAUUAUUCCUCAAAACAUGAUAAUUAUAAUGACAGUUAACCAUAAGGCCCUUAAACAUAUAAGAAGAAUAAUAAAACAUCAAAGCCAAGAACAUACCUUCUAAAAUUAAAAUUAAAAAAUAAAAAAAAAUGACAACUUGAGAUCGUAGGUUUUCGACAGACCAAUGGGUUUCACCUGAUUGGGAGGCCCGAUCCUAUGGAGGUGCCAGACUGACCCACUAAACUUGCUAUUUGUUUAACAAUAACAUUGAUUAAAUGAAGUAAAGGCUCUAGUUUAUAGAGAAGACAUCACCGUUUAAAAAGUAAUCAUAGAAUCGAUGGAAUCUACUAUUUCUUUACCAUUGCUAUAUUUUUAUUUAUUUUCAAUACCUAGUAUAGUAUAAUUUCGUAUUUCGAGGCGAACCGCCUAUAAAAAGGAAAAAAUCGUGGUUGGAAAGGUUAUAGUAGCCAAAGCCGUUGAACUUAAUGUUCUAAUUUUGAUUCAAAGGAAAGAAAACGUGUAGUUGAAAUAACUCACUCAGAACGUUUUUUAAAGGAUUACGUGGUACGAUUAGAUCGAAUAAGCCCUUUUGGAAUAAAUACUCGUCCGCUUAGGGUUUUUAUGCACUUCACUUUGAUAUAAAAUAAGGGAUCUCAUUUCACUAUAUGUUGAUUUUAUGUUUAGUUUGUGUUUGGUGUGUCAUACCACAUAACUAACUUAUUUUUUGAGAUUUUUUAAAUUGUUAUAUUAAAAAAAAGGUAAAAAGUAACUUGUAAGCUAACUUUUUUAAAAGCUAACUAGUAUUUUUAUUUUAUUUUUAUUUUUUUUUUUUAUUAUUUUGAUUUCUCAAAUGUAUCCUUGAGUAACUAUUAAAACCAUAUUUUUUAAAUAUCAUUUUAUAUAUUUUAGUUAGCUUAACAACUAAUUUUUAUUAACUAGUAGUUAACUUUUCGGCUAACAACUAAUUUUUUAGUUUUACCUAAUAGCCAAAAUGGCCAAUAAAAAAAAUCUACAUAAAUAAACUAUAAAAAAAAACCCUCCCACUAAAAAUGCUCUCAAUAACUAAUUCUACAAAUUAAAUAAAACAAAAUUGAUCCUAAAAUUAUUAUCAUAUAUACCUCAAGGACAGUAAAAAAAAAGUCAAACCAAAAACCCAUAAAUCAAAACUUACUAUUAGCACAUACCUAUGUUACCGAGAAAGUUUCCAUUAUUUACUAUCGCCCAUAAAAUCGGUCAAGUUCCUUGAUCUUCCAUGCAAUUUCUUUACAUGAUUGUUCCUAAUAUCAUUCAUAAAUGAUAAAUCUCACCAGUCUUUAAGUUUGCAGAUUUGUUGGUAACUCGCAUGGAACUUGCCGGAGAAGGAACCGAUGGUGUUGUUUCAUAAUGGUUUUCACCCGGACUGCCGGACAACCACUCACUGCAAGUCUGCAAUGGCCUGGCCUUCACCGUCGGUGGCCUUCAAUUACCUUAACCGACAAUCCCCCUGCACCUCCGUGGAAAUCGGUUUCAAUCGACGAUGCUUCUGGUUUGGAUCCCCACUUCCACUUCCUUUCCCAUGCAUGCAUACAACUCUCUAGAGGCUGGACCCUCACAGGCCAUUCUCUCUCUCUCCCCAUGCAGUAUUAACCACCAGUUUCAGGCCCCACCUCCACCAUUAUCACACACUAAAGUGAGAACUAUAACCCUGGCCCACCACCCACUAAAAUGAUUCAGUUUCGUAAGUCCAAGACAUAGACACCACCUUUAAUUUAGCAAAAUCAACAUGUCGUUGGAGGGUAGGGACUAGGGAGGGGUGGUAUGGUGCAAGAAGAAGCCGUUAAAGAGGGUUAAUUAGG